rnacentral:rRNA from 1 species
CAUGUCCUUUAGAUUAUAAUUUAAGGUUUUGUCUGCUCAAUGAUUAAUUAAAUUGCCGCAAUAUUUUGAUUGUGCUAAGGUAGCAUAGUAAUUAGCUUCUUAAUUAGGAGCUGGAAUGAAAGAUUUGACAAGAAAAUUUCUGUCUCUGUUUAAUUUAUUUUUGAAUUUUAUUUUUAAGUGAAAAAGCUUAAAUGUUUUUAAAAGACAAGAAGACCCUAUAGAGUUUAACAUUAGAGAUAAUUUAUUUUAGUAAUUAAUUUUGUUUAUUUAAUGUUUAGUUGGGGUAAUUAGAAGAUAUAAGAAAUUCUUUUUUUGUUAGUUAAUGAUUUUUAAAUAUUAGUACUAAUUAUUUUGAGUUAAAAACAAAUUACCUUAGGGAUAACAGCGUAAUUUUUCUUUAUAGUUCUUAUUGAAAGAAAAGAUUACGACCUCGAUGUUGGAUUAAAAUAAAAUUCUGAUGCAGAAGUUAGAAAUUUUGGUCUGUUCGACCAUUAAAAUUUUACAUGAUCUGAGUUAAAAUCGGCGUAAGCCAGAUUGGAUUCUAUCUUUAAAUUAAAUUAAUAUAUUUUAGUACGAAAGGGCCAAAUAUAAAUUAAAAUAAUUA